AUGCAUUUGUUUCUCACACUCAUACAUAGCACCAUGGGCCGGGUGAAAAGAUUUUACCAGGAUUUCAUCCAUAUCAAGCUGCAUAGCUUUUGCCGUAUCAGUAGAUAUGUUGUCGAUUCAAUAGCUUUUGUCUAUCGAUUUGUUGCAUUGCAUGUUCACCCCUUCUGGAUCCAACUGUCCUACUUCCUUGCCAUUGCUAUACUUGGUUCAGUCCUCUUGAUGUCGCUGAAACCAAGCAACCCUGACUUCAGCCCUCCUUACAUUGACAUGUUAUUCUUGUCAACUUCUGCUCUAACAGUUUCUGGCCUCAGCGCCAUCACGAUGGAGGACCUCUCAAGCUCUCAAAUUGUGGUCUUGACACUGCUCAUGCUUGCAGGAGGGGAGAUCUUUGUUUCACUCUUAGGCCUCAUGCUUAGAGUGAACCAUCAAGACAUGCCAGAUCUUCCAAGCAUGAAGAUCAGCUCAGUUCCUGUCGAGCUUCAAGAGAUAGACUUGGCGAAUAGCGUGGCACUCUGUGAUGAGUCGCAGCUUGAAGAAGCAGCUCAUGCAAUUCCACCCAAGAAAUGUACAGAGUUGAAGAGGAGUAGGCCUGUCAAGUGCUUAGGAUAUGUGGUCUUUGGGUACUUUGCCGUGAUCCAUGUCUUGGGCUUUCUGCUGGUUUUUCUGUAUAUAACUCAUGUGCCAACUGCAAGUGCCCCACUGAACAAGAAAGGGAUCAACAUCGUGCUCUUCUCACUAUCAGUCACCGUCGCUUCCUGUGCGAAUGCAGGACUCGUGCCCACAAAUGAGAACAUGGUUAUCUUCUCAAAGAAUUCAGGCCUCUUGCUGCUGCUCAGUGGCCAGAUUCUGGCAGGCAACACAUUGUUCCCUCUCUUCCUGAGACUAUUGGUAUGGUUCCUGGGGAGGCUCACAAAGGUGAAGGAGCUGCGGCACAUGAUCAAGAACCCUGAGGAGGUGCAUUUUGCUAAUCUGCUUCCUAGGUUGCCGACUGCAUUUCUCUCCUCGACGGUCGUUGGCCUUGUAGCAGCUGGGGUCACGAUGUUCUGCGCCGUUGAUUGGAAUUCUUCAGUGUUUGAUGGGCUCAGCUCUUAUCAGAAGACUGUCAAUGCAUUCUUCAUGGUGGUGAAUGCGAGGCACUCAGGGGAGAAUUCCAUUGACUGCUCGCUCAUGUCCCCUGUCAUUAUAGUACUAUUCAUCGUCAUGAUGUAUUUGCCAUCAUCAGCAACAUUUGCAACACCCAAUGGAGAUACUAAAACCACCAAUGAGAACACAAAAGGGAAAGCCAAGAGAGGGUCGUUGGUGCAGAAUUUGGCAUUCUCACCGCUCGGAUGUAACAUCAUCUUUGUGAUAGUUGCCUGCAUCACUGAAAGGAGAAGGCUCAGAAACGAUCCACUCAACUUCUCCACCUUGAACAUGAUAUUUGAGGUCAUCAGUGCAUACGGCAACGUUGGGCUAUCCACUGGUUAUAGUUGUUCUAGGCUGCAUCAGCUGCACCCAGAGAUCAUCUGCCAGGACAAGCCAUACAGCUUUUCUGGAUGGUGGAGUGACGGAGGAAAGUUUCUGCUAGUCUUGGUCAUGCUCUAUGGAAGGCUUAAGGUGUUCGCCGUGUCCACAGGUAAAUCCUGGAGAGUAUGA
rnacentral:rRNA from 1 species